AACGUAGGAGACGAACGUUAUCCGGAGUUACUGGGCGUAAAGGGCGUGUAGGCGGUUUGUUAAGUCUGGCGUGAAAGCUCUCGGCUAAACCGGGAGAGGUCGUGGAUACUGGCGAACUAGAGGAUGGUAGAGGUGAGUGGAACUCCGAGUGUAGAGGUGAAAUUCGUAGAUAUUCGGAAGAACACCAGUGGCGAAGGCGGCUCACUGGCCCGGUACUGACGCUGAGGUGCGAAAGCGUGGGGAGCAAACAGG
rnacentral:rRNA from 1 species